AUUGAACGCUGGCGGCAUGCCUUACACAUGCAAGUCGAACGGCAGCGGACCUUCGGGUGCCGGCGAGUGGCGAACGGGUGAGUAAUAUAUCGGAACGUACCUUUCAGUGGGGGAUAACGUAGCGAAAGUUACGCUAAUACCGCAUAUUCUGUGAGCAGGAAAGCAGGGGAUCGCAAGACCUUGCGCUGAUUGAGCGGCCGAUAUCAGAUUAGCUAGUUGGUGAGGUAAAGGCUCACCAAGGCGACGAUCUCUAGCUGGUCUGAGAGGACGAUCAGCCACACUGGGACUGAGACACGGCCCAGACUCCUACGGGAGGCAGCAGUGGGGAAUAUUGGACAAUGGGCGAAAGCCUGAUCCAGCAAUGCCGCGUGUGUGAAGAAGGCCUGAGGGUUGUAAAGCACUCUCAAUCGUGAAGAAAAGUUGCAGGCUAAUACCCUGUGACCUUGACGUUAACGAUACAAGAAGCACCGGCU
rnacentral:rRNA from 1 species